GGGUUUAUAGCUCAGUGGUAGAGCAGCUGACUGCAGAUCAGCAGGUCCCGCGUUCGAACCGCGGUGGGCCCU